GUGGUUGGCUGAAUCUUUUACAUUUGUGCGUGUAAAUGCAUUGGGUGCAGCUACCACACCUGUAAUUACUGUCUGGUACAACGGGGAAGGUCGGUGCACAAUGAGGGCACAUAUCCGAUUUGACUAAACAAUCUCGUAGAUUGGUGGGACGUUUAAAAACAAGUUUAGGUGCUUCUGUAAAAACUCUCUUUAUUUUGGGGUCUGACUCGACAAUAUGCCAAUGUUUCUGGAUGACAUUUUUAAACUGUGAACCAAAUGGAGAAUAUUUUGUACGAUACAUAGGAAAAUUACUUUUACUUUUAAAAAUAGUUUUUUAUUAUGGUUUGACCGGAGACAUUCAUCCUGUGUUAUCUGAUCAAAUUGUUCCUUAGCUGCGUCUACCCACUCGCUUUUGUACCCUCUGCUGAGGAAUCUAUUAGACAGAUAUGUGGCCUGUGUUAUGUAAGACAUGUUAUCACUGCAGAUCUUCCGAACCCGAUGAAACUGGCUGAUGGGCAGACUUUUUAAGAGUGGUCGUGGGUGCCUCUUGUCAGGCAGUGAGAUUGUAUUUGAAGUGGACGCAGGAAUGAGAGUCAUCCGCAGAGACAUAGCAUCCACUCUGCUGAGCUGCACUGAGGACUUGACAGACCUGUGCGUGGCUUGUGGUAAGGUCACCAGCAGAUAUGCAAGAAAUGCUAAAUUGGAUGAAUGGAUUGAGUGCACCAGGGAGGACUGUGGACGCUGGUACCAUUUGCACUGUGUGGGGAGGCCUCAGGUGGAGGGGGACUACAUGUUUUGCUUGCAGUGAUGACUGAUUAAAAAAAAAAAAUUACCUACAAAUGUGAAUUUGUGGUGGACUUUUAAUAAAUCUACUGACUUCCCAUUAUGUUGUCAUU